GGACGAACGCUGGCGGCGUGCCUAACACAUGCAAGUCGAACGGGGAUUUGUUUCGGCAGAAUCCUAGUGGCGAACGGGUGAGUAACGCGUAGGCAACCUGCCCCCCGGAUUGGGACAACACCCCGAAAGGGGUGCUAAUACCGGAUACGAAGAUAAUACCGCAUGGUGUUAUUUUGAAAGAUGGCCUCUAUUUAUAAGCUAUCGCCGGGGGAUGGGCCUGCGUCCGAUUAGCUGGUUGGUGGGGUAACGGCCUACCAAGGCGACGAUCGGUAGCCGGUCUGAGAGGAUGAACGGCCACAUUGGGACUGAGACACGGCCCAGACUCCUACGGGAGGCAGCAGUGGGGAAUCUUCCGCAAUGGGCGAAAGCCUGACGGAGCAACGCCGCGUGGGUGAGGAAAGUUCUUCGGAACGUAAAGCCCUGUUGUACAUGACGAACGUGCUUUCUAUCAACAACGGGAAGCAAUGACGGUAGUGUACGAGGAAGCCACGGCUAACUACGUGCCAGCAGCCGC
rnacentral:rRNA from 1 species